UUUAAAUCUUGGCGCGAGCAUGCGUUUAGGUUGUCAUGGUGACGCGCGCUCACACAACCGCACGUCAUGGCACUGCGCUGAACUCUGUCCAGACUGUGAAUGUGGUAUUAUCUUCGCGAUCUGUAGGCACUACGGAAACGAAAGGCGCAUAAUCAUAACUCAAAUAAUCUCCGCCUAAAUACUGAACGGUAUUUUCUGAUGUUGGGCAAAAACUUAGCCUCAAAACGUAGCUGUCUGUCACACACAGCUUGUUGCAUGCUGAUCCAUACACGAGAGCCUAACGGAGAACAUUUAAGCUGUGCUCCUCACCUGAGCAGGUACAGAGCAGAGCUUCAUCUCACACUAGCACAUUGAGAAUUGAAGGUCGGUUGUUGCUGACUACAGAAAGGUUCUUAUAUGGAGGCAUGUAAAAGCAAGGAAAGUGAAACUUCAGCUAGACCUUGAGUUCAGUUUACAAUAUGAAGAUCCUGAUAUCAACAUCUGAUCUGAUCAACACCUGAUUUUCAUCUGAGCUGCAGAGUACCAACAUGUUACAAAUGAGAAUUUUCCCCACAAAUUCUUUGGACAACCGCACCACCACCUAUUUCAUUUGAUGACAAUUUUAAGGCAAACAGCAUCCAAAACUGACAAGACAGCAGAUACCCUGGCUAAUCUUUUGAAGGUUUAUGAUGAGCAGGAACUGCAUGAUGUCAGUUCAUGAUGGACUACUGUUAUCAGAGGUCUUUUGGUCUUGCUGCGUGAGCGUGACUGGGGAUUCUUUAGGACCACCCUGAUUAAUAAUCCUGAA